UCGCAAGACGAUGUAUACGGACUGACGCCUGCCCGGUGCUGGAAGGUUAAGAGGAAGGGUUAGCCUUUGGGCGAAGCUCUGAAUUUAAGCCCCAGUAAACGGCGGUGGUAACUAUAACCAUCCUAAGGUAGCGAAAUUCCUUGUCGGGUAAGUUCCGACCUGCACGAAUGGCAUAAUGAUGGGGGCGCUGUCUCCAGCAGAGACUCAGUGAAAUCGAAUUCGCCGUGAAGAUGCGGUGUACCCGCGGCUAGACGGAAAGACCCCGUGAACCUUUACUACAGCUUGGCACUGAACAUUGAACCUACAUGUGUAGGAUAGGUGGGAGACUUUGAAGUUGGAACGCCAGUUCUGAUGGAGUCGUCCUUGAAAUACCACCCUUGUAUGUUUGAUGUUCUAACGUGGGCCCCUAAUCGGGGUUGCGGACAGUGUCUGGUGGGUAGUUUGACUGGGGCGGUCUCCUCCUAAAGAGUAACGGAGGAGCACGAAGGUUGGCUAAGUACGGUCGGACAUCGUACGGUUAGUGCAAAGGCAGAAGCCAGCUUAACUGCGAGACAGACACGUCGAGCAGGUACGAAAGUAGGUCUUAGUGAUCCGGUGGUUCUGUAUGGAAGGGCCAUCGCUCAACGGAUAAAAGGUACUCCGGGGAUAACAGGCUGAUACCGCCCAAGAGUUCAUAUCGACGGCGGUGUUUGGCACCUCGAUGUCGGCUCAUCUCAUCCUGGGGCUGAAGCAGGUCCCAAGGGUAUGGCUGUUCGCCAUUUAAAGAGGUACGCGAGCUGGGUUUAGAACGUCGUGAGACAGUUCGGUCCCUAUCUACCGUGGGCGUUGGAAAUUUGAGAGGAUCUGCUCCUAGUACGAGAGGACCAGAGUGGACGAACCUCUGGUGUACCGGUUGUGACGCCAGUCGCAUCGCCGGGUAGCUAUGUUCGGAAGGGAUAACCGCUGAAAGCAUCUAA
rnacentral:rRNA from 1 species